ACGAUGGAUCACCAGUGAGUGGCGGACGGGGUAUAACACGUAGGUAACCUGCCCCGGAGCGGGGGAUAACAUUUGGAAACAGAUGCUAAUACCGCAUAACAACAAAAGCCACAUGGCCUUUUGUUUGAAAGAUGGCUUUGGCUAUCACUCUGGGAUGGACCUGCGGUGCAUUAGCUAGUUGGUAAGGUAACGGCUUACCAAGGCGAUGAUGCAUAGCCGAGUUGAGAGACUGAUCGGCCACAAUGGAACUGAGACACGGUCCAUACUCCUACGGGAGGCAGCAGUAGGGAAUCUUCCACAAUGGGCGCAAGCCUGAUGGAGCAACACCGCGUGAGUGAAGAAGGGUUUCGGCUCGUAAAGCUCUGUUGUUGGAGAAGAACGUGCGUGAGAGUAACUGUUCACGCAGUGACGGUAUCCAACCAGAAAGUCACGGCUAACUACGUGCCAGCAGCCGCGGUAAUACGUAGGUGGCAAGCGUUAUCCGGAUUUAUUGGGCGUAAAGCGAGCGCAGGCGGUUGCUUAGGUCUGAUGUGAAAGCCUUCGGCUUAACCGAAGAAGUGCAUCGGAAACCGGGCGACUUGAGUGCAGAAGAGGACAGUGGAACUCCAUGUGUAGCGGUGGAAUGCGUAGAUAUAUGGAAGAACACCAGUGGGCGAAGGCGGCUGUCUGGGUCUGCAACUGACGCUGAGGGCUCGAAAGCAUGGGUAGCGAACAGGAUUAGAUACCCUGGUAGUCCAUGCCCGUAAACGAUGAAGUGCUAGGUG
rnacentral:rRNA from 1 species